rnacentral:rRNA from 1 species
AUUGAACGCUGGCGGCAGGCUUAACACAUGCAAGUCGAGCGGUAACAGAGAGAAGCUUGCUUCUCUGCUGACGAGCGGCGGACGGGUGAGUAAUGCCUAGGAAUCUGCCUAGUAGUGGGGGAUAACUUGCCGAAAGGUAAGCUAAUACCGCAUACGUCCUACGGGAGAAAGGAGGGGACCUUCGGGCCUUUCGCUAUUAGAUGAGCCUAGGUCGGAUUAGUUAGUUGGUGAGGUAAUGGCUCACCAAGACCGCGAUCCGUAACUGGUCUGAGAGGAUGAUCAGUCACACUGGAACAGAGACACGGGCCAGACUCAUACGGGAGGCAGAAGUGGGGAAUAUUGGACAAUGGGGGGAACCCUGAUCCAGCCAUGCCGCGUGUGUGAAGAAGGUCUUAGGAUUGUAAAGCACUUUAAGUUGGGAGGAAGAGCAGUUAACUAAUAUUUGACUGUUUUGACGUUACCGACAGAGUAAGCACCGGCUAACUUCGUGCCAGCCGCCGCCGUAA